rnacentral:rRNA from 1 species
GCGCUGGCGGCAGGCCUAACACAUGCAAGUCGAGCGGUAGAGAGGUGCUUGCACCUCUUGAGAGCGGCGGACGGGUGAGUAAUGCCUAGGAAUCUGCCUGGUAGUGGGGGAUAACGCUCGGAAACGGACGCUAAUACCGCAUACGUCCUACGGGAGAAAGCAGGGGACCUUCGGGCCUUGCGCUAUCAGAUGAGCCUAGGUCGGAUUAGCUAGUUGGUGGGGUAAUGGCUCACCAAGGCGACGAUCCGUAACUGGUCUGAGAGGAUGAUCAGUCACACUGGAACUGAGACACGGUCCAGACUCCUACGGGAGGCAGCAGUGGGGAAUAUUGGACAAUGGGCGAAAGCCUGAUCCAGCCAUGCCGCGUGUGUGAAGAAGGUCUUCGGAUUGUAAAGCACUUUAAGUUGGGAGGAAGGGCAGUUACUUAAUACGUGACUGUCUUGACGUUACCGACAGAAUAAGCACCGGCUAACUCUGUGCCAGCAGCCGCGGUAAUACAGAGGGUGCAAGCGUUAAUCG